AGCGAACGCUGGCGGCAGGCCUAAUACAUGCAAGUCGAACGGCUCUUCGGAGCAGUGGCGGACGGGUGAGUAACGCGUGGGAACGUGCCCUUUGGUACGGAACAACUGAGGGAAACUUCAGCUAAUACCGUAUGUGCCCUUCGGGGGAAAGAUUUAUCGCCAUUGGAGCGGCCCGCGUUGGAUUAGCUAGUUGGUGGGGUAAAGGCCCACCAAGGCGACGAUCCAUAGCUGGUCUGAGAGGAUGAUCAGCCACACUGGGACUGAGACACGGCCCAGACUCCUACGGGAGGCAGCAGUAGGGAAUCUUGCGCAAUGGGCGAAAGCCUGACGCAGCCAUGCCGCGUGUAUGAUGAAGGUCUUAGGAUUGUAAAAUACUUUCACCGGGGAAGAUAAUGACGGUACCCGGAGAAGAAGCCCCGGCUAACUUCGUGCCAGCCGCCGCCGUAAGAC
rnacentral:rRNA from 1 species